rnacentral:rRNA from 1 species
AUGGAAGCAGAGAACAAGCCGCACUCGCAGCCACCGCCAUCGUGGUCAGACCUGCCGCUGGACCUAGCAGGCCUGGUGCUCCGCCUUCUCCCCGGGUACGCCGACCGCGCCCGCUUCGCCGCGGUGUGCCCGCAAUGGCGUGCCGCCGCAAGGCAGCAGCUCCGGACCCCAUCACUGCCCCUGCUCGUUCUCCCCGACGGCACCUUCUACAGCCUCCCCUAUGAAGAGCCUUUCUGCUUCCCGGGCUGCGGCUUCGCUGGGUACAAGAGUGCCUGCGGAAGCUGGCUUGUCUUCCCCCGCGAUGAUGGGUGCUUCCUUGUCAACCCUUUCUCCAGGGCCACCAUGACACUCCCUCCUCUCUCCAGCGUCCGACUCCGGCCUCCAAGUGCAGUCGCUAAAUGGUCAUAUGAGCAUGGGUCAAAAUUUGCCGUCCCCUACACUACAUGGAUGCAUAUCAAUGACUCAGAGAAGCUGCACAUAAUUAAGCUAAUCCUGUGCUCGCCAAACCUUGUUGCCGCACUAGUUGGCGUUGAGCACACCAGUCAGAUCCUAAUGUGCCAGCCAGGGGCCUUGUCGUGGUCGGUACGCGCGUGCGACAAGUGUAGGGAUUUUGAAGACAUGAUAUUCUACCAAGGAAAGCUCUAUGUCCUUACCGAUAACGAGAACCUCCUUGUGGUGAACAUCAGCAACGACCAAGGCACCGGUGAUCCACAGGUUUCUCGGAUUGGAAGAGUCAUCAAAGGCAAUGGUGAGCGCUGCUACAUGGGUGGUCUCAGGUUGUACCAUGUGAUGCAAGACGAGAACUCUAUGCCCGUCAUGCCCCUCAAAAAGAUCUAUCUGGUUGAAUCACGUGGCGCGUUACUGAUGGUAUGCAGGAAGAUUUGGUGCCAGGUUCCUGAACCUAAACCUGGAGUGAGGGGUAAAGUUGUUGCUGGACAGAACAAGUUUGAGGUAUUUGAGGCUGACUUCGAGCAUUCACGGUGGAUCAAGGUGUCGGACGUGGGGGAUGACCAGGUGCUAUUUCUAGGGCGAAGGUGCUCCAGGGCCGUGUCCGUGUCUCGGUACGGUUUGUUGGGCAAUCGCAUCUUCUUCUUGGAUGAUGACGACGAGUAUCGUAUAGACUACUAUUACAACGAGGAGAAUACAUCAUGCAGCGCCUAUGACAUGCGACUCGGCAGCGUCUCUUCCCCUCAUCCAAUGAUCUCCUGGAAGCGCCGCAUUGAGACACGUCUGGCAGCAUGGCUCUUUCCUCAGGACUGA